CGAACCCAGGGCCUUGCACUUCCUAGGAAGAAGAGAAGAGGCUGUGAAGGAACUUCCAGAAAUUAGUCUCCAGUCUGCAGCCACUGUCCAUCUCUUGGGACAAUUAACAGGUCCUGGCAAGGCCUUUGAAGCUGGAGGGGUCCUGUGGUGCAGGUGCGGGCCCCCACGCCCAGCCAGACCACUCUCUGUGUUGUGAUAUUCCGUGGAUUCCAACUGAGGGCAAGGAUUACAACACAGCACAUCGGAUAUGUAGUUGUUUACUGGUGUUUUCUUAGCUGAGUAGGCAGACAGGAUUUGUACUCAGAAUCAAGGUUCCCUGACCAACAAACCUUUUUACAUGUUCAUGCCAGUAGAGGGCGCCCUCAGCAAGGAGCAGAAAGAAGAGUUGCGG
ensembl:lncRNA